CUGCGCGAGGUCUGAAGUGGGCGGGGCGGGGCGGUCCGGGUUUCGCUGCUUCGCUGCAAGGAUUGUUUUCUCUGCUUCUCCCUGGCCGGCGGACGUGGUUUCUUUAGCAAUUGCUGGUUUAAGGUGUCCUUCAGCUGGGAGAACGAGUUCGGGUUCUGGAGGUCCCUGCUCAUCCUCCCACAGAUCCAGCACUUGGGGAGCGCCUCUGGCAUGGUCCCCUUUGGCGCCACGAUAUCGGUUCUCUUGUGAUAUGAAACCCGUGUAAGAAGAGUACUUUUUUUUUCUUUAUCGGGAGACCUAGCCCUAUAUGAACCUGAAGAUUGUUUUGCAUGGAUUCCUGAGUAACUCAAGAUUUCAGACUGGCCUAGACCUAAAGACUGUCAAUUAUAUUAUUAAAGUAUGCUGACAACGUG